UGCAAAAUGGUGUAAGGCACAUUAGAUUUUGAGUUUAAAAGAAAGUAUUGCAA
rnacentral:tRNA from 1 species